rnacentral:rRNA from 1 species
AACGAACGCUGGCGGCAGGCUUAACACAUGCAAGUCGAACGCCCCGCAAGGGGAGUGGCAGACGGGUGAGUAACGCAUGGGAACAUACCCUUUUCUACGGAAUAGCUCUGGGAAACUGGAAUUAAUACCGUAUACGCCCUACGGGGGAAAGAUUUAUCGGGGAAGGAUUGGCCCGCGUUGGAUUAGCUAGUUGGUGGGGUAAAGGCCUACCAAGGCGACGAUCCAUAGCUGGUCUGAGAGGAUGAUCAGCCACAUUGGGACUGAGACACGGCCCAAACUCCUACGGGAGGCAGCAGUGGGGAAUAUUGGACAAUGGGCGCAAGCCUGAUCCAGCCAUGCCGCGUGAGUAAUGAAGGCCUUAGGGUUGUAAAGCUCUUUCACCGAUGAAGAUAAUGACGGUAGUCGGAGAAGAAGCCCCGGCUAAUUUCGUG